UAGACAUGGAUUUUGACAGAAGCCUUACUUUGCUGUUGGAUGUCUGAGUUCAUCUCAAACCCAAGAAUACUGAAGAUCACAGAAAGCAGUGGAACUAUCAGAGUUUUGCCUUCAUCUAGCAUGUCAUAUAAAUGGAUUUAAACAGCACGGAAACUUUUGUAUCCAGCUUCUUCCACUUAAUAUAAGACUUCUGAGAUUCAUACAUGGUGUCACAGAGCUGCCAGUGACUGGAUGAUCUUUAAGAAGCAUAGGAUUUUUUGGUGCAAUAAUCCAAUCCCAUCCAAAAGCUUCAAAAUCCACAGUUAGAGGGUAACGACAGCAUCGAGAUUCUGUUGAGUGCUCAUCACAGUCAAGUCCAAAAUCUCUUCUGGAUCUUUUUGUUUUCUUUUGUUUUUGAGUAAUGCCAAGCAAAAUUUUAAUGCCUGUACAGUCUGAGGACAACUUGCCACACCAGUGAAUCUUUUAUACUGUAUUCCAAGUGGCUUUUUAUAUUCCAACUUUGAUGAGACAAGUGUCGUCAGGAUCUAUGAUUGGCUCUUGCUCCACAAUGAAUCUCGCUGUCAGAGGUUAAAACCCUGUCUGUCACAAGUCACCAAACAGUAUUCUGUUACAGUCAA